UACGUAGGGUGCGAGCGUUGUCCGGAAUUAUUGGGCGUAAAGGGCUCGUAGGCGGUCUGUUGCGUCAGGAGUGAAAACUCGGGGCUUAACCCCGAGCCUGCUUCUGAUACGGGCAGACUAGAGGUAUGCAGGGGAGAACGGAAUUCCUGGUGUAGCGGUGAAAUGCGUAGAUAUCAGGAGGAACACCGGCGGUGUAGACGGCUUACUGGACCAUGACUGACGCUGAGGCACGAAAGCGUGGGGAGCAAACAGG
rnacentral:rRNA from 1 species